UAUAUAUUUAUAAAUACAAAGAAAGCUUAUCGAUUGAAAUUGAAAAAAAUUUUUAAAUUUUCGUCUAGAAAAAUUUAGAAUUUUGCUCUUUAAAUUUAUAAGGAUAGUGCGAUUAAUGCAAUAACUGUUAUAAUCGAUCCUGUUGGAAUUGGUGUCGAGUUCGUUCUUUAAUAUAUAAGAGUCGACAAGUGAUCUUAUCAUCUGCGAAAAAAAAAAAAAAAAAAAUCACUAAUUCUUGUUAUGACGAAUAAGAUUGUGACUUGCGAUAUAGUUCUGGGAAUGUAACACUUUAUCGUUUCUCUUUAUUAUAGAGUGUUAUCGUGUUAAAGAUAAAUAAUAUACACAUAUAAUUAUAAGUAUAUAUAAUUUUUCAAUAUAAAAUUUUCCAAUAGAAAAAUAUAUUUAAAUCGUAGAUUGAUUGGAAAAACAUUUUUUUUUCUCGUGAAAUUAAAAAAUUUAAAAGAGAAACAUUCACGAUAUAUAUUAACUCAGACACGUUAACGUUAAAAAAUCCAACUAUUUUUUUUUUUUUUUUAGUUAAUAAAAAUUUUGUAAUUAAACGAAGAAGAAGAAGAAGAAGAAGAAGGAGCUUAUUGGUUUAUUUAUUGAUAUUAGACAUUUACUAGAUUUUUAGGGGAGAAGGAAAAUUCAUUUCAUCAACGGAAAAAGAUUUUGGAUCCUGGAUUGGCGCCACUGUCAUUAUCGACACUGAUAGAAUUAUUCUCACUAAUAUCGACAAAGGUUUUCACGAUAAAAUUAAACAAUAAAUAAUUAAUUAUUGAACCAAAGACAAAGUGGAUUAUUCCUAUUCAUCGAACAACAAUGAUGGAACAAAAUUGAUGAAUUGGAAAACAAUAAAGAAUUGGAAAAAAAUAAAGAGCAAAGGGAAACGAGAUUACUUUAUUUCUGGAAAAACCAGGUGUAUCAUAAUGGGAAUAAAACGGAUUGAAAGUGAAUGAAACUCGGUCGGUUCGGAAAUACCGGUAGAGAAAAUGGAAGAAAGAAACGUUGAUCUUGACGUCACCUGUUUAGAAUAGUAUAUGGUCAAAAUACGUAUAUAAAAAUAUAUUUGUAUAAGAAGAAGAAGAAGAAGAAGAAGAAGAAGAAAAGGAAAUAUUGUCAAAUUGUGAUUAAAAGUGGAAGUAUGUUAACAGAUAGAUUUCGAAACGAGGAGAACUCGAGAAUUAUUAACGUCACAUUUAUAAUAAUUGAUUGAAAUAAGCCAGGAAACAUUUAAAGUUUAUCUUUCGUGGGGCACGUGUCAAAGCACGUGCUCGAAAACAGACGUUGCACAAUUGAUUCUGAUCGUUACAUAAUAAUAAUAAAUACAUUUUGGAUCGAGUAUUCUUAAAAUUUUAUGAAAUUUGCAUAUUAUCGGUCGUAUUGAACAAAUAUUCAAAAAAAAAACAAAUCGUUUACAUAUAAUUUGUAUAAGAUUUCAAUCAACAACAAUUUCCAAUAUGAGCAUUGAACCACCGUGGAUGUUGAAGUGAAUCGCAUCAAAAUUGUUGCAUAGAUUACCUGAGAAAUCAGUUUUUCUUAUUCAAGAUAUCCUCUAAUAAAACGAAGAAUAUUUUAAUCCCAUGGCUCGAAAAACCACGUUCUAACGGAAUUUAUACGAAGGAAGAUUCAGAUGGAGAAAAGAGUACGUUUAAAGAUGUUCAGGAAGAGUAAACGACCUUCGAAUCUAUUGCUCCAUGCAAAGAUGAAAGUUAAGAUGAACAAAAUCAUCGCGAAAAUUACACGAUUAUACAAAUUAUUACGAGAAAGUAACGGAAUCAGGUCAAUUCUAAUCAAGAAAGCCUUACUGCGGAUAAGAAAGAGAAGAGAAUUUUUCUAACGUGGGAUAUUCCAAAAAUUCCCCAAUAGUCGUAUACAAUAAUAAUAAUAAUGUAUUACUCUCUCA